AAGUAUCAAAAUUUACAUGGUUAGUCAGUCAACCCAUUCCAUGGCACUAAAUCUUCACCAGUUUUGGAUCUGUUCAAGUAAAAAAUAGGUCGAAGUGCAACAAUUUGCAGUUAAGAGUUGCCGCCUUUUUUCCCCUUCAAAUGAAUCUUCCUCAGUCUCCCUUCAUAUCCUCUAUCUUUCCACAAAUUCCCUGCUUUUAAAUCCCAAUCAUCUACAAAUUACUGCAAUGCGACAUCUCAUGUAUUUCAGUUUUAUUUCUAGGAAUGCACACAACCUGUUCGACCAAAUUACCAACAGAAGAAUUUUCAUCCAAACUCCACUAUGUAGCUUUUGCUGCAGUAAAGUAUACCACACGAAUUCUUUUUUAAAAGACCCAAUUGAAAAUUAUGGUGAAUACAAAGAAGUGGUGUAUUGGACCUCAAUAAUUUCUGGUUUAGUGAAACAAAACCGCCCUAAAGAUGCCAUUGCUAAGUUCAAACUGAUGCUUUUGAGUGAACAAAGACCCAAUCAUGUCACAUUAGUAACUGUUUUAAGGUCUAUUAGUGCAUUAAGAUUUAAAACCCCCGCGUUCGUUGUUCAUGGAUUAAUGAUUAAGAUGGGAUUUGGAUCAGAAAUUCGAGUUUUGACUGCUUUGAUUGGUGUUUAUGGUAAUAUGCAUUUACCCUUUGCAUGGAAGCUUUUCUCUGAUAUGCCCAUGAAGGAUUUGGUUAUGUGGAGUGCCAUGGUUUCAAUAUGUGUUAAAAGUGGUGAAUUUAUGGGGGCUAUUGAGGUGUUCAGGAACAUGAUAUGUGAAGGCAUAGUACCUAAUUUUGUGAGCAUUGUGAAUGUUUUGCCAGCUUGUGCUAAGCUUGAUUCUCUGGCCUUGGGAAAACAAGUGCAUGGGUUUGCUCUAAAAACGUCGUUUCAUUAUGUUAUUUACAUCCAAAAUUCACUCAUAGACAUGUAUGCAAAAUGUGGGGGUUUUAUGUAUGCUGCUAGAGUUUUUGCUCGAGUUGCAAGGAAGGAUGUAGUCACUUGGAAGACAAUGAUUCGUGGAUGUAUUGAGACCGGAAACCCAGGAAAAGCAUUAGUUAUCUUUGCUGGAAUGCACCAGUCUUGCUCUGAGAUUGAUUGUGGCAUUCUCUGUGAUGUGAUUGGGGCAACAUCAGAUUCAGAAGAGUUCGCAUUUGGACUCGGGUUGCAUUGCUAUAGUUUAAAAUCUGGAUUGGCAGAAUCUGUUUCUGUUGGAACAGCUCUUUUGCAAAUGUAUGCAAAAUUUGGUGAAGUGCACCCAUCUCAGCUUUUGUUUGAUCAGCUUCAUCCAAAGGAUCUUAUUGCUUGGACUGCAAUGAUAUCUGCAUAUGCUCAAAGUGGGUACACCAGCGAGGCUCUAGAUACAUUUAAGCAUAUGCAAUUAACAAGCGAGAAGCCUAAUGAGAUAACAUUUGUCAGUUUGUUACAAGCUUGUUCUUCAUCAGGCACUCAAGAGUUUGGUGAAAGCAUUCAUGGGUAUGUAACUAAAGCUGGUUACUUGCCUAACUCAUUCUUAAUUUCAGCUUUAAUUGAUUUAUAUUGUAAGUUUGGAAGAAUAAAGCAAGGAAGAGCUCUAUUCGAUGAACAUCAUAUCAAAGAUCUGAUUAUUUGGAGUUCAAUGAUUAAUGGGUAUGGAUUAAAUGGUUUUGCAAACGAGGCUUUAGAAAUUUUCUUGAACAUGUUGGCUUCUGGAGUAAAGCCCAAUGAUGUGGUUUUUGUAUCAGUCCUGUCAUCCUGCAGCCAUUGUGGGUUAGAAGAUGAAGGAUGGUACUGGUUCAAUUGCAUGCAAGACAAGUAUGGAAUUGUGCCAAAGAUUGCACAUUAUGCUUGCAUGGUUGACUUGCUUAGCCGUCAAGGAAAUGUCGAAGAAGCUGUUGAUUUUGUCUACAAUAUGCAAGUGGAACCUGAUAAGAGGAUUUGGGGAUCUCUUCUUGCUGGAUGUAAAUCAACUCAUGGAUCAAUUGAUGUAGCAGAGCUUGUUGUUCAACAACUUAUUAGGUUAGAUCCAAAAAAUACGAGCUAUUAUGUAGUUUUGUCAAACAUGUAUGCAGAAGAAGGUAGAUGGAAUGAUGUUGAGAAGGUAAGAAAAUUGAUAGAUGAGAAAGGAAUCGCAAAAAUGACAGGAUAUAGCACUUUCUGAAUGUCAUUCACAUGCUACUGGAUGUGUUUCAGAGGAGGUAAAUCCACUUACUCAUAUUGUGGAACUAGAAGCAUUAAUAUACUUUUCUUUCCAUUAUCAUAAAAACAGACAACCUGGAAGUCGUCAGAGCACUCCAGCAAGGAGACAUGAUAGACAAAAGCAUUACCUCUAUCAUCCUAGAAAUAAAACAAACAGCUAACAGUUUUCAGUUUUUUUCCUGUAUCAAAGUCAAAAGAGAGGAAGUUAUAUUAGCCCAUAAUCUAGCCAAGAAGGCAAGAAUAGGGAAAACCUCCUCCACGUAGCUUUAAUAUUGUUUUACCCAUUGUCAAAAAAAAAAUAUAUAUACUUUUCUUUCUGGGUCAUGAUUGAUGGAAGACAUUAAAUUUUCUUUCCUUUUCUUAGCAACUCUCUUGAACAACUAUUCUGCCUGUUGAUUAGUGCUGUUAGUUUUGUACUUUCAAGAAAGAAGAUGACAGACUCACAGUUUGUAAAGAUAUAAAUCCUGCUGAGCCUCCAGUACUUGACGAAAUUAAAGAUGUUUCCUUCUGAAGUUAUGAAGAUCAUAAAUUUUCUUAAGAUGUUUUCUAG